rnacentral:tRNA from 1 species
ACGUUCGGCCGAGUGGUCUAUGCGCUGGAUUUUUACUCCAGGGGUCAGUGGUUCGAGCCCAGUUGAGGGUU